rfam:Helianthus annuus linkage group 9, whole genome shotgun sequence.
CGACUCAUCACAUCCUGGGGUUGAAGAAGGUCCCAAGGGUUCGGUUGUUCGCCGAUUCAAGUGGUACGCCCGUAGG